rfam:Felis catus isolate Cinnamon breed Abyssinian chromosome E1, whole genome shotgun sequence.
GCCUGGGUGGCUCAGUCGGUUGGGCGUCUGACUUCAGCUCAGGUCAUGAUCUUACACUCUGUGAGUUCAAGCCCCGCGUCAGGCU